CUCCAAUUAUGUCUGGGCUGAUAAACCUACAAUACUUGAUACCAUUUUUCCUACUAGAUUUUUACUAUCUGAGUACGACAUGUGGACAUAAACAGUCAAAAAAAAAAAGAAAACAGGAAAAAAAAACACACACUAUCAAGACACUAAGACAAAGACGUCAUCCCAAGAAUCAUGGUGCUUACGUGGUUUUAUGUUCCCAUAUAAGGAAAGAGCAGGUAGAAAUUUCAGCCCCAGACAUCGUCAGAUUCUGAGCUAACGGUCUCCCCCAUUCCUGCACCUCCACUGGGAAUGGUGGGUCUUUGUAAAUUUCUUCAUCGUCUUGCUCGGCGCUUCUCACUACACAGAUCCAGAAGAGAAUUCGGUCUUGACCUCUGACCUGCGGAUAUCCUUGUCGCUACCCUGGCCAAGGCUGUGCAAACUCCAAUUGAUUUCAAGAUGGCCCCAACUCAGAAGACUGAGAGUAACCCGGCACGUGCUGAUGGUAAAAUACUUUAAGAGGAUCUCGUGGGAAGAGAACUUUUUCCCUAAGUGUAGGUUUAGUAUUCACUUACCAAAAAAAUCUAUUUUUUGUUCAUUAUAGUUCCUCCCCCACACCUGGUCUUUUAAUCUUAAACACUUGCACUUACCCCCUCCGCAAUUCUAUCUCUGUCCAGAGAAUUCCAUAUCGUUUUAAUCACAUCAGCACAUGUGCUUGCAUCUAAAUUAUGAACUAAAGUAACAUAAAAGCGUGGACCUAAAUGACUUCGCCAGAGAAGAGGCUGCCGACAAGAUCAAGGAGGAAAUGGAGGGGAGAGAAAAUCGGCCAAAAGGCCCCCGAGAUGGAAGGGGCAGGAGAGGCAAGAGAAGGGAGAUGCAGUGUCUCUACUGGCCCCAACAGCCUCAGGCAGCUGACGGUCACAGGCUCCAUUCACAGACCAUGAGUUCAUGGAGAAAUACUCUGCAUCUCUGAUCCUCCACUGCUGGCUCACCGGUACAAGGCAACCAUGAUG